GACGAACGCUGGCGGCGUGCUUAAUACAUGCAAGUAGAACGCUGAAGGGAGAGCUUGCUCUUCUGGAUGAGUUGCGAACGGGUGAGUAACGCGUAGGUAACCUGCCUGGUAGCGGGGGAUAACUAUUGGAAACGAUAGCUAAUACCGCAUAACAUUGACUAUUGCAUGAUAGUCAAUUGAAAGGUGCAAAUGCACCACUACCAGAUGGACCUGCGUUGUAUUAGCUAGUUGGUGGGGUAACGGCUCACCUAGGCGACGAUACAUAGCCGACCUGAGAGGGUGAUCGGCCACACUGGGACUGAGACACGGCCCAGACUCCUACGGGAGGCAGCAGUAGGGAAUCUUCGGCAAUGGACGGAAGUCUGACCGAGCAACGCCGCGUGAGUGAAGAAGGUUUUCGGAUCGUAAAGCUCUGUUGUAAGAGAAGAACGAGUGUGAGAGUGGAAAGUUCACACUGUGACGGUAUCUUACCAGAAAGGCGGCU
rnacentral:rRNA from 1 species